rnacentral:rRNA from 1 species
ACGCGAAAACUUUACAAUGCUGGCAACAGCGAUAAGGGAACCUCGAGUGCCAGGUUACAAAUCUGGCUGUCGAGAUGCCUAAAAAGCAUUUCAUAGCAAGGGCCGGGCAAGACCGGUGCCAGCCGCCGCGGUAACACCGGCGGCUCGAGUGGUAACCGUUAUUAUUGGGUCUAAAGGGUCUGUAGCCGGCCGGAUAAGUCUCUUGAGAAAUCUGGCAGCUUAACUGUCAGGCUUUCAGGAGAUACUGUCUGGCUCGAGGCCGGGAGAGGUGAGAGGUACUUCAGGGGUAGGGGUGAAAUCCUGUAAUCCUUGGGGGACCACCUGUGGCGAAGGCGCCUCACCAGAACGGCUCCGACAGUGAGGGACGAAAGCUGGGGGAGCAAACC